GACGAACGCUGGCGGCGUGCCUAAUACAUGCAAGUCGAGCGGAUCUUCAUUAGCUUGCUUUUGAAGAUCAGCGGCGGACGGGUGAGUAACACGUGGGCAACCUGCCUGUAAGACUGGGAUAACUCCGGGAAACCGGAGCUAAUACCGGAUAAUCCUUUUCCUCUCAUGAGGAAAAGCUGAAAGACGGUUUCGGCUGUCACUUACAGAUGGGCCCGCGGCGCAUUAGCUAGUUGGUGAGGUAACGGCUCACCAAGGCGACGAUGCGUAGCCGACCUGAGAGGGUGAUCGGCCACACUGGGACUGAGACACGGCCCAGACUCCUACGGGAGGCAGCAGUAGGGAAUCUCCCGCAAUGGACGAAAGUCUGACGGAGCAACGCCGCGUGAGCGAUGAAGGCCUUCGGGUCGUAAAGCUCUGUUGUCAGGGAAGAACAAGUACCGGAGUAACUGCCGGUACUUGACGGUACCUGACCAGAAAGCCACGGCUAACUACGUGCCAGCCGCCGCAGUAA
rnacentral:rRNA from 1 species